CAAGCGGUGGAGCAUGUGGUUUAAUUGAAGCAACGCGAAGAACCUUACCAGGCCUUGCAUCCAAUGAACUUUCCAGAGAUGGAUUGGUGCCUUCGGGAACAUUGAGACAGGUGCGCAUGGCGUGUCAGCUCGUGUCUGAGAUGUUGGGUUAAGUCCGUAACGAGCGCAACCCUUGUCCUUAGUACCAGCAGUUAGGUGGGCACUCUAAGGAGACUGCCGGUGACAAACCGGAGGAAGGUGGGGAUGACGUCAAGUCAUCAUGGCCCUUACGGCGGGCUACACACGUUACAAUGGUCGGUACAGAGGGUUGCCAAGCCGCGAGGGGAGCYAAUCCCACAAACCGAUCGUAGUCCGGAUCGCAGUCUGCAACUCGACUGCGUGAAGUCGGAAUCGCUAGUAAU
rnacentral:rRNA from 1 species